ACUUGCUGAUCAUGCUGACACCAUCCACUCGGGCUUGGCUGACUAGCCUCCCCAAGUACACCAUCAACAGCUGGGCCAAGCUGAAGGCCAAAU
rnacentral:snoRNA from 1 species